GCGAGGUAGAGCAGUGGUAGCUUGCCAGUCUCAUAAGCUGGAGGUCGUGGGUUCGAGUCCCACCCUACGCA
rnacentral:tRNA from 1 species